AGUGACGCACGGUGCACUGGCGGGAGGUGCGUGCCCGGGACCGCGGCGGGAUGAGAGAGGGACAAACUGAAGGCUCGUGAUGUUCAUAGCCUCUCUGUGCUUUGUUCCUUGAUAUAGAUAAAUCGCAUUUACAAUUUCCUUGGGAAAGACGAAAACGUUAUGAAGUGGAUUGAAAACUAAGCAACUGCUGUUCGUUAAUAGAGAAUGAUAAGGAACUAACGAAUGUUGUACGUCCGUCGUUAGUCUUCAGCAACAACAUUUAACGAAGAGACAGCACAUAUCAGGUUAUUUAGAAAUGACUCCAAAUGUCUGGACGAUCAAGUCUCCCUGGCUACAGAGCAUCGAUUCCUCCUUUUCUCCUUCCCGGACGUAAUGCAUCAGGCCAACGACUCUCCUUUCUGCUUCCUUCUCUUUAUCCCUCUCUAACCAGUGGACAUCUUGAGACGAUCGAGUUUGCGAAGCGCUCAUCACGGCGAAUCAUAAUCACACGGCAAGUAGGCUGCAGACGCUUGAUCCUAAGGACGCUCUGCGCCACAUGGGCGGGUUCGGAGAGGCUCUUUGUCCCAGGGAUCUUGGUAUUCAUCUGCAAGUGCUUAUGUUUCUGAAUGAAAAUAUACUUUUUUACUUUAUCAGUAUUACGGCAAUUGUAUAUAUAUUCACGUCAUGAGUGUUGACGCUUUCAAUAGUUUUAAAUCAUCACUAGACGUGUUAAAUCCAUUAUAUAUUUACUCGAAAGAACAAGCACAGCAAAGUAUCGAUCAAAUGUAACCGCUGACAUUCAGUCGCUAAUUAGCGGCUCCGAAAACCUAGUGUGUUAUCAAUGCAAUUACGAAUAAAGUUUCUUCACAACAAA